GGCGAACGGGUGAGUAAUACAUCGGAACGUGCCCGAUCGUGGGGGAUAACGAAGCGAAAGCUUUGCUAAUACCGCAUACGAUCUACGGAUGAAAGCGGGGGAUCUUCGGACCUCGCGCGGACGGAGCGGCCGAUGGCAGAUUAGGUAGUUGGUGGGAUAAAAGCUUACCAAGCCGACGAUCUGUAGCUGGUCUGAGAGGAUGAUCAGCCACACUGGGACUGAGACACGGCCCAGACCCCUACGGGAGGCAGCAGUGGGGAAUUUUGGACAAUGGGCGCAAGCCUGAUCCAGCCAUGCCGCGUGCAGGAUGAAGGCCUUCGGGUUGUAAACUGCUUUUGUACGGAACGAAAAGGUGCCUUCUAAUAAAGGGCGCUCAUGACGGUACCGUAAGAAUAAGCACCGGCUAACUACGUGCCAGCAGCCGCGGUAAUACGUAGGGUGCGAGCGUUAAUCGGAAUUACUGGGCGUAAAGCGUGCGCAGGCGGUUUUGUAAGACAGAGGUGAAAUCCCCGGGCUCAACCUGGGAACUGCCUUUGUGACUGCAAGGCUGGAGUGCGGCAGAGGGGGAUGGAAUUCCGCGUGUAGCAGUGAAAUGCGUAGAUAUGCGGAGGAACACCGAUGGCGAAGGCAAUCCCCUGGGCCUGCACUGACGCUCAUGCACGAAAGCGUGGGGAGCAAACAGGAUUAGAUACCCUGGUAGUCCACGCCCUAAACGAUGUCAACUGGUUGUUGGGAAUUAACUUUCUCAGUAACGAAGCUAACGCGUGAAGUUGACCGCCUGGGGAGUACGGCCGCAAGGUUAAAACUCAAAGGAAUUGA
rnacentral:rRNA from 1 species